UUCAUCAUCUGCUCCGAUCCAUUAAAAAAAUCCACUGCAUCAUCUUCAUCACCAUCAUCAUCUUCAUCACAAACCCACACCCAAGCUCAGCAAAGUUAAACGCCAGCUGUCGGUGGCCUGUGGCACCUCACUCACAUACCCUCCUUCUCUGUUAUACUCUCUCUCUCAUCCCAUCGUCACUUGUCUCCUAAGCAAUCCAUCAAAUGCGUUGAGACCAACAGCAGAUCUCUUCCCCUGUAUCUUCCCACACUUGUAGCUAUUGUGAUUUGAACUUUUGAUUGGGAUUUGGAGUUAGGGAGGUAGAUCUGCUUUGCAGUAAGAGUCGCAUUGUUACGGCGAAGAUGGCGGCGACUGUUGGUUGGGUGUAUUCUUCCGGCAGUAGUCAUGCCAAUAAUGAUUUGUGGGUUUUUUAAUGGAUCGGAGCAGAUGAUGAAGAUGAUGUAGAUGAUAAUGGUGAUGAAGAUGAUGAUGAUGAUGGUGAUGAAGAUGAUGCUGUAACGCCUCGUAAUUUAAUUCUUUUUUUAGAAAAAAAAAAUCAUAUUUGUAUCAUAAUUCAAGGCGUUAAUCAUAAUAAAAAGAAGUAAAUUACAAAGUUCGUCCUUUAUGUAUGUCACUUAUUACAAAGUGUGUCAU